rnacentral:rRNA from 1 species
UACAGGGGGGGCAAGCGUUGUUCGGAAUUACUGGGCGUAAAGGGUUCGUAGGUGGCCACCUAAGUCAGACGUGAAAUCCCCUCAGCUUAACUGGGGAACUGCGUCUGAUACUGGGUGGCUUGAGUGCAGGAGAGGAAUGCGGAAUUCCAGGUGUAGCGGUGAAAUGCGUAGAGAUGCGGAGGAACACCGAUGGCGAAGGCAGCCCCCUGGGCUAACACUGACGCUCAGGCACGAAAGCGUGGGGAGCAAACAGG